UAAAACCAGCACCUCAAGUGGUCAGGAGGAUUAUUGGGCCUAAAGCAUCCGUAGCCUGUUCUGUUAGUUUUCGGUUAAAUCUAUGCGCUCAACGCAUAGGCUGCCAAAAAUACUGCAGAACUAGGGAGUGGGAGAGGUAGACGGUACUCGGUAGGAAGGGGUAAAAUCUUUUGAUCUAUCGAUGACCACCUGUGGCGAAGGCGGUCUACCAGAACACGUUCGACGGUGAGGGAUGAAAGCUGGGGGAGCAAACCGGAUUAGAUACCCGGGUAGUCCCAGCUGUAAACGAUGCAGACUCGAUGAUGCAUUAGCAUAUAGCUAGUGCAGUGUCGCAGGGAAGCCGUUAAGUCUGCCGCCUGGGAAGUACGUACGCAAGUAUG
rnacentral:rRNA from 2 species